rnacentral:rRNA from 1 species
GUCCACGCCGUAAACUUUGGGCACUUGGUGUUGCGGGUAUCGACCCCCGCAGUGCCGAAGCUAACGCAUUAAGUGCCCCGCCUGGGGAGGUACGGUCGCAAGGCUGAAACUCAAGGAAUUGACGGGGGCCCGCACAAGCGGUGGAGCAUGUGGUUUAAUUCGACGCAACGCGAAGAACCUUACCUGGGUUUGAAUUGCGGUGGACAGCUCCAGAGAUGGAGCCUCCCUUCGGGGCUGCCGUGAAGGUGCUGCAUGGCUGUCGU